GUCUUUCUAGUGGCCGUCACCAGUACCGGAGUGAGAGACAGAGAGGAGAAGAUGCAGUCGCCAGCAGAGGAGGAAGAAGUUGCUGAUUGAGAGUGGUUUACCAUUGGUGUCCAAAUAUCCUAGUUCUCUAUGAUGUUGCAGUAGAGUCUUCAACUGCAGAGGUUGAGAUAGAGAGUUGACACACUCUUCCAAGACAGAGGGUGCAGCAUUGAGCCAAGACACUGUCUACGAGAUGGGGAGCACACAUUAAUAUAAUAUGCAUCAAUCAACCGGUCCAGUUGUUCUUCAAUAAAAUAUUCUAAAUGCCCAUUAUCUUAAAUAAAAUGCGCCAAGAUGUC